AAUAGAUACCGGGUAGUCCACGCCGUAAACGAUGGAUACUAGCUGUUGGGCGCAAGUUCAGUGGCUAAGCGAAAGUGAUAAGUAUCCCACCUGGGGAGUACGAACGCAAGUUUGAAACUCAAAGGAAUUGACGGGGGCCCGCACAAGCGGUGGAGCAUGUGGUUUAAUUCGAUGAUACGCGAGGAACCUUACCAAGGCUUAAAUACAGACUGACCGGUUUGGAAACAGACCUUUCGCAAGACGGUCUACAAGGUGCUGCAUGGUUGUCGUCAGCUCGUGCCGUGAGGUGUCAGGUUAAGUCCUAUAACGAGCGCAACCCCUGUUGUUAGUUGCCAGCGAGUCAUGUCGGGAACUCUAGCAAGACUGCCAGUGCAAACUGUGAGGAAGUGGGGAUGACGUCAAAUCAUCACGGCCCUUACGCCUUGGGCUACACACGUGCUACAAUGGCCGGUACAGAGAGCAGCCACCCCGCAGGGGGANCGAAUCUAUAAAGCCGGUCACAGUUCGGAUCGGAGUCUGCAACUCGACUCCG
rnacentral:rRNA from 1 species